GCGGUGCAUGGGGCUAGAACUCAGGGCCCAGCAGGUCUGACAAUGCAGGUUUCCCCGCUCGCCUGUUGGGUUUUUGAAACGCCCUCAGCGGGGUUUUCCUCCUAAUUCUGGUUUGGAGGAGCCAUCUCUCUCCAUCCCGUCUGCCAGCGGGGUUUGCUUCACACACAGACGUGGGCAGAUGGCAUCGGGGACACAGGGAAACCUGACCUUAGAGGAAAUGGAAAAGUUGGAGAGACACUGAGCACUGAUACGAAAUAAUUCUCUUGCUGAAAUACACGAAAGGAGUCCCAGCAGCCAUAUUAGUAUUUCCACGUCCUGUGUCAGCCCCAAGUAGAGAGAACUUGGAAUGGGAGGGGAAAUGGCAGCCAUCAGGAAAUGAAAUGCUGGCCCAGAGAAUUCUAAGCAAGUCAAUCACCAGUCCAAAGGAAAGGCCAUGUGAGGACAUAAGGAGGAGACAGCCAUCUAUAAGCCAAGAAGAAAGCCCUCACUAGAAACCAACUCUAAUGGCACCCUGAUCUUGGAUUUCUAGCCCCUGGACAAUGAGAAAAUAAAUGUCUGUUGUUUAA
rnacentral:lncRNA from 1 species